GACGAACGCUGGCGGCGUGCCUAAUACAUGCAAGUAGAACGCUGAAGGAGGAGCUUGCUCUUCUGGAUGAGUUGCGAACGGGUGAGUAACGCGUAGGUAACCUGCCUGGUAGCGGGGGAUAACUAUUGGAAACGAUAGCUAAUACCGCAUAAGAGUAGAUGUUGCAUGACAUUUGCUUAAAAGGUGCAAUUGCAUCACUACCAGAUGGACCUGCGUUGUAUUAGCUAGUUGGUGAGGUAACGGCUCACCAAGGCGACGAUACAUAGCCGACCUGAGAGGGUGAUCGGCCACACUGGGACUGAGACACGGCCCAGACUCCUACGGGAGGCAGCAGUAGGGAAUCUUCGGCAAUGGACGGAAGUCUGACCGAGCAACGCCGCGUGAGUGAAGAAGGUUUUCGGAUCGUAAAGCUCUGUUGUAAGAGAAGAACGAGUGUGAGAGUGGAAAGUUCACACUGGGACG
rnacentral:rRNA from 1 species